rnacentral:lncRNA from 1 species
ACAAAACAUGCUGGAAUAGAUUGUUUGCUACAAAUAUCUCCAAUCUUCUUUUUUCCACACAAAAUCAAUAGGACUUGCUCUAUGGAGAGGUGAUGUAGGUGGAUGUCCACAUAGGUUUUAUAACUUGGCAGAUGUGACAAGUCCACCUACUCCCCAGAUAUCAGUGAAAAAGAUGGGAAGAUGACCCCUACAAGCAAAACACCUGACUCUACCACAUACCGUGUUACUAUAGGUGGGAGACAAGAGCAUGGAUAUGGAGUUGAGUGGAAAGUGAAGAGUCGAAGAUGACUUCAUCGUUUUGAACCUGAGUGAUUGGAAGGAUAAAGAAGAAGUCAAGAAAAGAGAGGACACAAAAUGGUUUAGAGCCAUUACCUUUUUUUAGGCAUUCUUAUUCUGGGAUCUAUAAACUUGUUUUAUUAAAAAAUAUUUUGAAAACUAUUUCAAUGUAAUUUUCUUCAUACUUUCUAUGCAUUUUAUUUUAUGCAUUUAAAAACAUUAAUUUGAGAUGGGUUAAUAGGCUUCACUAGACUGCAAGACGCGUCUGUUGAUGGUUUAUCUCUUAACAUCAGUACUUUCUUAGGACAGGAUAGAUGCUGGGACAAAAUGAGGCACUUGCAAGACUGAACAUUUAACAUGAGGAGGUUUACUUAACCCUAACGCAUCAAGGAUAUGUAGCAAGUAUACUGUGACAGUUUCUCUUGACAUUGUCCCUUCUCUUCUCCCAAUUUCCACUUGAAAAUCUAGAUUAGCAGAGUAGGGUAGGAUGUGACUCGUGUGGGCUUCAGAAAUCCACCAAGGGAAAAGGAAUCUAGAUCCACAUGGCAGAACUAUCUAUUCCCUUAGAUGACCAAAAUGCAGCAGCCAUGAAGGAAACCAGGGGCUACCAAGUCCCAGGGCCAGCUUUGUUGUAGGCCUACCCCAAAUUGGUUGGUACA